AUUGAACGCUGGCGGCAGGCCUAACACAUGCAAGUCGAACGAGUGGCGGACGGGUGAGUAAUGUCUGGGAAACUGCCUGAUGGAGGGGGAUAACUACUGGAAACGGUAGCUAAUACCGCAUACCAUCAGAUUUGCCCAGAUGGGAUUAGCUAGUAGGUGGGGUAAUGGCUCACCUGGGCGAUGAGCCCGAGCUGGUCUGAGAGGAGGACCAGCCACACUGGAACUGAGACACUGUCCAGACUCCGACGGGAGGCAGAAGUGGGGAUUAUUGCACAAGGGGCGCAAGCCUGAUGCAGCCAUGCCGCGUGUGUGAAGAAGGCCGUCGGGUUGUAAAGCACUUUCAGCGAGGAGGCGUUACUCGCAGAAGAAGCACCGGCUAACUCCGUGCCAGCAGCCGCGGUAAUAC
rnacentral:rRNA from 1 species